CCCGCUGAACUUAAGCAUAUCANUAAGCGGAGGAAAAGAAACCAACAGGGAUUGCCUCAGUAACGGCGAGUGAAGCGGCAAAAGCUCAAAUUUGAAACCCUCGGGAUUGUAAUUUGAAGAUUUGGCCAUUGGAGAAAGCUAACCCAAGUUGCUUGGAAUAGUACGUCAUAGAGGGUGACAACCCCGUCUGGCUAACCGUUCUCCAUGUAUUGCCUUAUCAAAGAGUCGAGUUGUUUGGGAAUGCAGCUCAAAGUGGGUGGUAAACUCCAUCUAAAGCUAAAUACUGGUGAGAGACCGAUAGCGAACAAGUACUGUGAAGGAAAGGUGAAAAGAACUUUGAAAAGAGAGUGAAAUAGUAUGUGAAAUUGUUGAUAGGGAAGGAAAUGAGUGGAGAGUGGCCGAGGUUUCAGCCGCCCCUCGUGGGCGGUGUACUGCCGACGCCGAGUCAUCGAUAGCGAGACGAGGGUUACAAAUGGGAGCGCCUUCGGGCGUUCUCCCCUAACCCUCCACACUGCCACCGACGACAUAAUCCACCCAUUUCACCCGUCUUGAAACACGGACCAAGGAGUCUAAUGGAUAUGCGAGUGUUUGGGUG
rnacentral:rRNA from 1 species